AGUGAACGCUGGCGGUAGGCCUAACACAUGCAGGUCGAACGGCAGCACAGUAAGAGCUUGCUCUUACGGGUGGCGAGUGGCGGACGGGUGAGGAAUACAUCGGAAUCUACUUUUUCGUGGGGGAUAACGUAGGGAAACUUACGCUAAUACCGCAUACGACCUACGGGCGAAAGCAGGGGAUCUUCGGACCUUGCGCGAUUGAAUGAGCCGAUGUCGGAUUAGCUAGUUGGCGGGGUAAAGGCCCACCAAGGCGACGAUCCGUAGCUGGUCUGAGAGGAUGAUCAGCCACACUGGAACUGAGACACGGUCCAGACUCCUACGGGAGGCAGCAGUGGGGAAUAUUGGACAAUGGGCGCAAGCCUGAUCCAGCCAUACCGCGUGGGUGAAGAAGGCCUUCGGGUUGUAAAGCCCUUUUGUUGGGAAAGAAAAGCAGCAGGUUAAUACCCCGCUGUUCUGACGGUACCCAAAGAAUAAGCACCGGCUAACUUCGUG
rnacentral:rRNA from 1 species